CUAAACAUACCCAAAAUUAGGACAGUACUAUUUCUCUAAUUUCUGACAAUGUGAGCAUUAUGACUAAAAAUUACGAAACGUUACUUCACAACAGGAUAUUAAAUAAGGUGUUACAUAAAUCUCACUAUACCAAUUAUGUUAAAUCCGUUGAGAACAGUAACGAAGGUUAACUGUUCAAUUCACAGCUCAACCAAUCCCACGCUACGGAAUAUAAAUACGCCACAACAAAAUUCGAAGUGGUGGAACAGUAUUUUAUACAGCAUAAGGUAAAUUUCGUAACGGUUCUUCUUUGAGCGAGUGAGAAAUACAAUAAAACAUUUGAUGGCGCACAUUGCAAUCAACUACAGCUGAAGACACUCAUUACAUUUAUGUAACACGAAACUUACCAGUAAUAGUACCAUGCACUUGGGUCCCAUUCUUGAGCUCGAUGGUAACCGUUUCAUGG